rnacentral:rRNA from 1 species
UACGAAGGGGGCGAGCGUUGUUCGGAUUUACUGGGCGUAAAGGGCGUGUAGGCGGUCGGCCAAGUCUGGUGUGAAAGCCCGGGGCUCAGCUCCGGAAGUGCGCCGGAAACUAGCUGGCUGGAGCGCGGUAGAGGAGGGUGGAAUUCCUGGUGUAGCGGUGAAAUGCGUAGAUAUCAGGAGGAACACCGGCGGCGAAGGCGGCCCUCUGGACCGUUGCUGACGCUGAGACGCGAAAGCGUGGGGAGCAAACAGG